CGAUGCAUCAGUUGCCUGGUUGCUCACCAUUAUCCCUCAGAUCAUCUAGAGAGGGAUGGCUUCCACCCUUCUUGUAACAUUGACAGACUCACCAACUGGGGAGGGGAAUUUCCUGCAAAUAAAAGUAUUCUCUGUAAAACUUCUUACUCACCUUCUCCCCAGAUCAGUACAAGAACAGGAAAGAGAGGAACUCAAAGGAGAGAGGAUAAGGAAGUCCAAUCAAGGUGUGACCUCCACUGCCUUGGAGAAGGUUUUGUGUACACAUGAAUAAUGCAAGAAUGACCUGGAAGGCCUGGAAACUCUACAUCUUUC
rnacentral:lncRNA from 1 species